rnacentral:rRNA from 1 species
GAUGAACGCUGGCGGCGUGCCUAAUACAUGCAAGUCGAGCGAACAGACGAGGAGCUUGCUCCUCUGACGUUAGCUGCGGACGGGUGAGUACCACGUGGAUAACCUACCUAUAAGACUGGGAUAACUUCGGGAAACCGGAGCUAAUACCGGAUAAUAUAUUGAACCGCAUGGUUCAAUAGUGAAAGACGGUUUUGCUGUCACUUAUAGAUGGAUCCGCGCCGCAUUAGCUAGUUGGUAAGGUAACGGCUUACCAAGGCAACGAUGCGUAGCCGACCUGAGAGGGUGAUCGGCCACACUGGAACUGAGACACGGUCCAGACUCCUACGGGAGGCAGCAGUAGGGAAUCUUCCGCAAUGGGCGAAAGCCUGACGGAGCAACGCCGCGUGAGUGAUGAAGGUCUUCGGAUCGUAAAACUCUGUUAUUAGGGAAGAACAAAUGUGUAAGUAACUAUGCACGUCUUGACGGUACCUAAUCAGAAAGCCACGGCUAACUACGUG